rnacentral:rRNA from 1 species
AGCAGCCGCGGUAAUUCCAGCUCCAAUAGCGUAUAUUAAAGUUGCUGCAGUUAAAAAGCUCGUAGUUGAAUUUCGGGACUAAUAUGUCGGUCGUGCCUCGGUACGUACUGGUUUAUUGGUUUCUACCUUCUGAAGAACCUCGAUGUCAUUAAUUUGGUGUCUUGGGGAAUCAGGACUGUUACUUUGAAAAAAUUGAGUGUUUAAAGCAGGCUCGCGCUUGAAUACAUUAGCAUGGAAUAAUGAAAUAGGACGUUUGAUUCUAUUUUGUAGGUUUCUAGGAUCGACGUAAUGAUUAAUAGGGAUAGUUGGGGGCAUUAGUAUUCAAUUGUCAGAGGUGAAAUUCUUGGAUUUAUUGAAGACUAACUACUGCGAAAGCAUUUGCCAAGGAUGUUUUCAUUAAUCAAGAACGAAAGUUAGGGGAUCGAAGACGAUCAGAU